ensembl:lncRNA
CUUGUUUAUAAAUGUAAAGUUGAUUAAACUUUCACUGUUUAGUCCUGUUUAAAGCUAUCCUAACAGGAGAAGAAUGGCAUUUCCUUUCAGUCGGUCACUCUUGACAUCCCAACCAAUUGGGAUCUUGCUUCGAGAGACCAAUCUACUUUGAGUUUAAACUAAACGACCCAAUGCACAUUGGCAUGCAGUUAGUGCAUUGCAUAGCAAAUUUUCACUUCAGAGCCGAGCGACAACAAUGUUCUGCUUCAUCCAAGUCUCUUCAGUGAGCUACAAAUUCAACGUGUUCUUGAAAGCUUUCGGUGUUGAUGGCACGGCGCUUCAGCGGUGGUCGUUCCUCUUUCGAGUGGGUUGCGCAAUUCAGGUUGUACUACCCCCUGUUGUGCUGCAAGCAGCCAUUUCCCCUGUGUGCCUCAGCAAUGAAAGAGCAUUUCCCUGCAAGAGCAAUUUCUUCAAAAGAGCUUCACGGGUGUGUGAAACUGAAUUGCAUAGCCGAGGCUCAUGGUCCCCAAAAGCCAGCAAGACGGGCUGGGUAGCGCUAGCCAGGCACCCAAAAAGUACAAGGUCUUGCCCUUUGGGCUGUCCCUGUCUCCCUGUGUCUUCACAAAAGUCACGGAGAUGCCUCUUGUUCACCUCAAAGAGCAGGGUGUUCGCAUUCUCAACUAUCUCGAUGAUUGGCAUAUACUAGUACCAUCUCGGGAUCAGUUGUGUGAGCACAGGGACCUGGUGCUCCGGCACUUCACCAUGUUGGGUUUUCGGGUUAACUGGGAAAAAAACAAACUCUCCCUGAUGCAGAGGAUCUCUUUUCUCGGUAUGGAGUUGGAUUCAGUUGAACAGACAGCAUGCCUUACAGAGGAAAAUGCGCGGUUGUUGCUGACCUGCUUGAAUUCAUUCAAGGGAAGGACAGCGGUCCCACUGAAACAAUUUCAGAGGCUCCUGGGGCAUAUGGCAGCUGCAGUGGCACUAACUCCGCUAGGGCUAUAUGAGACAGCUUCAGCACUGGCUUCAUGGCCGAGUACCGAUGUGGGCAUGGCAGCGAGGCACUCACUGGGUUCAAGUUACACAGGCCUGUUGCCAAACCUUCACCCCAUGGUCAGAUCUUACAUUUCUCCGGGCAGGAGUGCCCCUGGAACAGGUCUACAGGCAUGCUGUGGUUUACACAAAUGCCUCCACCACCGGCUAAGGGGCCACGUACAACUGGCACGCAAUAAUGCUCGCCAUCAGCAGAAAGAAUCAAAGGGCUAGGCUCACCUGUGAUGAAGAGCAUGUUGUGUGGAGAGAGGAGGACUGCUCCAAAGUUCACCUUAGUGCUGAGAGCAAGUAAAAUUUAUUUGGGUCUGAUGGGAAACAUUAUGUUUGGCGUAAAACUGGAGAAAGACUGAACCCCGACUGCGUAAAGGAGUCAGUGAAAAGUGGAGGAGGAAGUGUCAUCGUUUGGGGGAUGUUUGGACCUCUUAUACAGAUACAUGACAGGUGAAUGCAGAUAUUCAUCAGAACCUCCUUCAGCAACAUGCAGGUCCUUCUCAUCUCACAAUCAGCCUGCAAUUUUCAUGCAGGAGAAUGUCCCCAUCACACUGCAAAACAGGUAAAGCAGUUCCUUGAAGCUGAAAACACUGAAAUAAUGAAAUGGCCGGUCCAGAGUCCUGAUCUAAUCCUUAUUGAAAAUCUCUUGAAAAUUAUUGGCGACAAAGUUAUGGCUAAGAAACCCAAUACAACUAUGGAAGAUUGGAAGAAGAGUGGACCAAGAUCACACCAGCGCAGUGUAAGAAACUAGUGAAGUCCUUUGGCCACAGAUGUGCUGAAGUCACUCAGAGC